UCCUUGGUGGUCCAGUGGCUAAGACUCUGCACUCCCAAUGCAGAGGGCCUGGGUUGGCUCCCUAGUCCAGGGA
rnacentral:tRNA from 1 species